UAUGUUUUUUGAUCAAUAAGAAUUUUUGUUGCUAGCCUGUUGCUAAGAGAUGGGUGUGUUUACUGGUAACCAAGCGCUACGAAGUAAACUUAAGAUUUUAACUUUUGCAAAAUGUACCAACGGUAACGAUCUUGUAUCUAAUAAGAUCCAACGCCAAAACCAGUUGGACUGACAGUAAGCCAGAGGAGAGAGACGGGGAGGAUUUGGCUGCAGCAACGCCGAGACCGGUUGGGGGCGAAAAGGAAGGAACAACCUGAAUCCACAUCAAGCACUGUGAAGGACGACCUGUCUGUAACAUCCAACUAGAUCACGACUUUAAAUCUGUCACA